GUGCUCGCUUCAGCAGCACAUAUACUAAAAUUGGAAUGAUACAGAGAAGAUUAGCAUAGCCCCUACGCAAGGAUAAUAAUAAUUACUCAUUAACAAAGUAUUGUACU